UCUGGUCUUGGGACACUGUCAGGUGGGCAGUUUGACUGGGGCGGUCGCCUCCCAAAAGGUAACGGAGGCGCUCAAAGGUUCUCUCAGUACGGUCGGAAAUCGUACGUAGAGUGUAAAGGCAAAAGAGAGCUUGAUUGCAAGACAUACAGGUCGAGCAAGGAUGAAAAUCGGACUUAGUGAUCCGGUGGUUCUGCGUGGAAGGGCCAUCGCUCAACGGAUAAAAGCUACCCUGGGGAUAACAGGCUUAUCUCCCCCAAGAGUCCACAUCGACGGGGAGGUUUGGCACCUCGAUGUCGGCUCAUCACAUCCUGGGGCUGUAGUAGGUCCCAAGGGUUGGGCUGUUCGCCCAUUAAAGUGGUACGCGAGCUGGGUUCAGAACGUCGUGAGACAGUUCGGUCCCUAUCCGUCGCAGGCGUAGGAAAUUUGAGAAGACCUGUCCUUAGUACGAGAGGACCGGGAUGGACGUACCUCUGGUGUACCAGUUGUCCUGCCAAGGGCAUGGCUGGGUAGCUAUGUACGGAAUGGAUAAGCGCUGAAAGCAUCUAAGCGCGAAGCCAACUUCAAGAUAAGAUUUCCCACCGCAAGGGUAAGACCCCAGAAAGACUAUCUGGUUGAUAGGUCGAAGGUGUAAGUGCAGCAAUGUAUUUAGCUUAUCGAUACUAAUAGGUCGAGGACUUGACCAA
rnacentral:rRNA from 1 species